UAGGCUUCUGGCAUCAUGCAUGCCUGUUUCCUGUCUGACUAGCCAUCUGUGCAAAUGGGAUGCAGUGCGAUUUUAAAUCUGUCUGGAAGUGAAAUUCAGUUACAAGUAUGACCAGGAUUUUACUCACACCAAAAAGGAAGUGAAGUGUUCCAAGGAUCAUUCACCCUGGCAAGCACCAAAGUGAAGCCAUCCAUCAGCUUCACAUAUAGACAGAGAAGGCUGUUCAUGCUCCUAUCACGGGGUGACUUCUGGAAAGAAAAAAGACUUCGGAUAUUGACUCCAACCCAAUGCAGAUGGCUGUGGCUCCAUCGAUAAUCUGAAUUACGAGCGUGCAGAAAAAUCAAAAUAUAUACUUGCUGAUUUCCUUUUAGAUCAUAUUAACAAUCAUAACUAAGGCAACAUUCGAAACAGUAAAAAUUGGAUUCUGACAUUUGUGCAGACUUUAGGUCAGAAACUUUCUAAAGCUACUAGCAGUGGAGUGGAUUGAAAGAUUAAAACUGGGUACGAGCUGUCUAGAGAGCCUUAGUUAUGGAAAAUUCCAUGCUGCAUGCAUCUUCCUUCCUUUGUUUACCUUAUAUUCAAAUUUGAGAUUCAGGAAGCUUUUUAAACCAGUAAAUCCCAGGAGACAAUAUUACCCUAUCUUUUGUUGAUAAUAUCAUUCCCACUCAAAUUUUACUAUUUUUUGCUCAGUCCCUCAUCACCUUAAAAAUAGUAUAAGGUCGGCGACACACCCAGCCACACACAGAGUGGCAAACCAGCUUUCCUAAGUUCUGCAGAAGACUGCUGCUUCUUUGAUUCCCAGGAUGGCUUUCAAAUUGAUGAGCCACAGAGUGAAAAACAAUUGGGCGAGAGCUCCCCCUGGUGGCAGAGGGAAUUUCACAGUCCACGCAGCCUAGCUUUCCCUAAGGGCUCUGGCACUGAGUGCCAGUUUAAAAAAAAAAAAAAAAAAAAGUGCCAAUGUUGUUCUUUCGUUAUGUGAUGAAACCAAAAAUUGCUAUUGUUCUGUUCGGAGUGAAUCACAACUGAUAACAAGGAGGAUACAUGCGGUGUGUCUGCAGGAGAGUUUCAACAGUCCCAAGUAUGGAUGUCCUCCAGAAGGUCCUUCUCAAGUAGUCCAAACGACUCCAAAACAGGCUACAGGCUUUCAGUUCUCUCAACUAUAACGACGUUUAUUAGUCUUCUGGCUAGUCUUUCAUUCAAUCAGCGCAAAGCAUACCUUUCUCCAAUGAAAACUUUAUAAUACAAGUUUUGUUUUUUUGUUUUUUUUUUGAAGAACAGGGAUUGCUGCUUGUACCAAAGGUGGUUGUCAAAUUACUGUAUUUUAUGUGUGAGUGUGUCAGAGGUGUGUAUCCUUCAUGUGGAUCCACGUGGAGGUUAAAGGUUAACUUUAAAUGCUGUUCUGCAAGGGCCAUUCAUCUUAUUUUGUAAGCCAGAGUUAUUCCAUGCACUUGGAGCUCACUAAAUAGUUGACUGCCUAGAGAGCCUCAAUCUACCUGUCUCCCCAGCACAGGUGCCAUUAAUACAAGCUCUCACAUCCGCCCAAAUUUUCACAUAAGUUUUAUGAAUUGAACUCAGGUCCAGAGCAUUUUAAGCUGAACUAUCUCCACAUCUCUCAAACGCUGAUUGCGAACUCUGGGUCUAAUCACUUAAGGAGAACCAGAAUUUGUCAUAAACUUAAACCCAAUCACUUCGUUUGUGCUCUACAUAAGAGAUCACAGUAAAUGAUGCUUCAACAGUCAUGCUGUAGAUGAUCAUUUCUACCAAAAUUGCAAAGAACAUGCUGGUUUGCUUUCUCAGCAUUCAAAUAAGCAAAGUAACAGGAAACACUGUGGGUUUUAUAGGCCCUUCUACCAUGCUUGCCUCAGGUCUCAGUGCUCCCUACUGCUAUCUAAAUAGGCAGUGUGGAAGAGAGAAGGUGAGACCUCAAACUAAUAGAAGCAGUUUAAUGAAAACAGUCAUUGAGGUGAAUUUUAACAAGUACCAGCUAAAGUUUACACAGAGUGCACAGGAUUUCGUGAAUCAGACCUAGGGUUCUUUGUGACCCAUUCAUUAAUGCAAGCAUUCUGAAAUACACAGAACACCUGAAUACUGGGAGUCCCACUCUUCUAACCACAGCUUUCAGAUUAGGGUAUUCCCUGGAAUGAAAGACUGCCAAAUACACAAAAAUAUUUCUUGGCAAUGCUGUUCUAGACUCGAAAAAUUAUACACGACAGCAUAAUGAGUAACUUGAGAUACAGUUUGAAGAACAAACAUCCUAUCUUCUUCAUGCUCCAUAGACAUUUAAAAAUAUGUGUCCCACUCUUAACUUUUACAUUGUCAAGCUCUUUAAUUGGUUUAGAUUCAGAAAGGGAAAUCAGGUGGAUAGAAAGGAGAAUGAAGAUCGUGGUUAGGUGAGCUCUUAGGAGGAUACUUUUGAAAAAUAAAAUCUUUUAUACUGUUUUACUUACAACAUCUCUGAGGCACUGUGUGCUAUUUUAAAGCUGUUGGUCAACCUGAUGUCCUCACUUUUGUUGUUGUUGUUGUUUGUUUGUUUGUUUGUUUGUUCAUUUGCCACAAGUGUGAAUGUUUAUGACCAUACAGAGACAGGAAGCAAGAAUCAACCUGGCUUCUACUUCACUCAACACACAAAUUAAGGCAGAAGACAGCCCUGUGGGAGCUCGAUCAUUUCUUUCCUGGCACCACUGACUGCUGCUUUUCCCCCAAGCAGGUCAAAUGUGUACGAAGGCUUGAAGCUAGAGAAAAUGGCCACAGUGCUACUGGCUUCUUCAGGACACCAUCUGGGUUUACUAUUUGCCAUUAAAAUUGGCAGAAACAUCAUGUUAAAAUAAAACUGUCAACCAGUCAUGACAUCUAGUAAUAGCUGUGGGUAUUUUAUUUGUAGAAUGACCAGUUGAACAAUACUGAAAUGUGGUACAAUAUGAGCACACACACAUACUUACAUGUGCACACACAUAUGCACACACAUGUACACAUGCACACAUAUACAUAUGCACACAAAACACAUACACAUGCACACACACAUACAUACACAUGCAGAUACACAUAAGCACACAUGCACACACACACAUAAACACACACACAAAUACACAUACACAGAGUGGGGGUGGAGGAGGCACAUAGCUCUGGGCAUAAAUAGUAGUAAUGAUUAUUUAGUUGAGUUUACAAUGCUGGGUGUGAACAUAGGAACUCACAAAUGUCAAGCUAUCUCUCUUCCACUGUGCUACCACCCCAGACCUGUGUAUUAGUAUUCUAUACUGUAGUUGCUUCUGGGAAGUGGCUUCCUUUGCUUAGGGAAAGGAUUUGCCAGCCACUUAGAAUUUGGAAAGCAUGAUUAUGAAAUUAAGACCCUAAGGAUGACUACAUAGAAUAGCUAUUUUGAACAAAUUAAAGUAUUGUCAAGCAGAGAUUUAGGAUUAUGGAUAUAGCAGAAGACUGCAACUUAUGGUAUAAAAGUGAAAAUACCCAAAGAGGCCUACCCAACGCAAUGGGUAUCUACUGACAGCUAAUUAGAAUACAUCUAGCCAUGAUCCGUACAGAUGCUGCAUGUAGAAAAGUUUAUAAGGGAGAGAGUAUUGAGUUUCAAAUUAAAUUAUAAAGAUUUUUUUGUUCUGUUUCUUAGCAAUGUUAGAAAGCAGUCCAGCUUCUAAUUCUGAAGUAGAAAAAAUACAAGAGAUGAUUAGAGCAGGCAAGAGUCCUAAAACCUGAUGUUAACCCAGUUUCCAUAAAUCUCCAAGGACUCAUAUGCUUUGGGAAUUAUAGAAUGGAGAUUGUUUAGGAAUUGGGGUUAAUGAUUGGUUAGAUUUACAUUCAUUUUGGACCAAUGGAGUAAGAAACAAUUGGAGGUAUAUUGGUGAUUCUUUUAUACACAGUAAAUAUUUUAAAGCCAUUUAUUAGUUUCUCUCUCUCUCUCUCUCUCUCUCUCUCUCUCUCUCUCCCUCUCUCUCUCUCUCUCUCUCUCUCACACACACACACACACACACACACACACACACACACUCGGGGAUAGGGUGGGGGUGGUGGCAGUUAGUUUCACAUGGUAGUCCAGAGUGCCCGGUAUUUUACUAAUAUAGCCCAAGCUGUCCUCAAACUCACUGCAUAAACAAUUUUAUGAGUCCCCCAAGUGUCGAUUUAUCCUUUUUGUUAAUCAAAAAAGGCCAUGCUUAUCUUCUCCAAGCAGGUGCAAACACUUUUGCAUUGUACUGAUUGAUUUUUCUUCUCCUUUCCCCUUACCUCCCUAGGACAGAGUCUCUUAAUGGGUGCCUUUCCCCU